CCAGGAAGGAGGAGGCAGCCAGAGUGUUCUCUGCAGCAGAAGACCCCUUGCUGCUCUGCUUAACCCAGACCAGCAUUUGCCAGAAACAUCGAGCCUCCCGAAAAUACUUUAUGUAAGAGCUAAGAGAGAAUGAACUUUACUGGAUGACAUAUUGUAGUGAAACAGAUGAAGGGAGAGAAGACAAUCUGUGGAGCUAGCGAGAAAGAAGAAAGCUGAAAUGUAAUAGCUGAUCUGAUGAAAUUAAGUUUCCCCGAAAGAUAGAUGUUUUUUCCAGAUACUGAAAAGUAAUGGAAGAGGAUGGGGAGAAGCACCUGAGAAGAUACUGUACAAUAGGCUAGGUUGUUCGAGAGCGAUCUCUGAUGCCUCAUUCUGAAGGGAGGAGAAAAUUCAUUUCCAGGAGUAUUUCCAAUGAUGCAUGGCUGUAGAUUUGAAAUAGUGCGAGAGGGGAAGAGACCCAAGAGAUAAAACUGCUGAAUCUGGGAAGCCAGCAACAGACCUCACAGGGUGGAGGCAGCAUAGGGCCUGGAGAUUCAAAAGCUGCUGUGGUGCAGCAAGUCACCACAAGGGGCAGUGGUAUGUUACAUCUCCUGGGCCGCUGCUGAGCUGGGGCUUCUGCCAUUAUAUAGGGCAGGCUGGCCCAGGGCUUGGGGAAGAAGAAGGAAGAGGGGAACAGUUUAGGUGGGGCACUGACUGUCUUUUGCUUCUACCCCACCUCUUCUCCAGGUGUGGCAGGCUCCAAAAUGGCCACUGUGGAAUAAGGGAGACUGGCAAGGCGAGGGGAAACUCUGCAGACCUCCCAACUACACCACCUCAGACAACUCCCCCAGAUGGGGCUUCAGCAAGAACUACAAUCCAUGGCAGGAGAAAUUCACCCAAGUGUGCUAGAGGCAGCUAUCAGUACGAGAUCUGUUAGAGAGAUUUGGAGAGGAGAUCAUUUAUCUACCCCACCUGCAGCAGAAGUGCACAAGUAAGAAGAGCAGCUGUGCUUCCUCCUCUCUCUCCAUUUUUAAAAGGGAAGGGGAAAGGAAAGGAGAAGCAAGCAUGGAGAGGGAGAAAUGAGUACUGCUACAGUGUUCCAUCCCUCACUCGUCCCUCCCCUUGAGAAGACAGCACAGAUGCAAUGAAAUUCGAAGGAACAGCAAGCCACCAGAGUGGGAGAAUGGAGAUGGAAGGUCAACAGAAACACUGCUGGUGUGGGCAUUGAAUGUGUGCGAUAUCUUUUCUCUUGCUGAAAAUCUAUCAAGAUUUACAAGGAAGAGGAGGAACCCAGAACUGAAGUAUUUGCUGUGACCGGCUCUCUGGAAGGGAAAGUAUCAAGGUUGUGCUGACCAAAGCACUAUUUGGUUUGCCUGGGUUUGUGUUUCCAUUAGUACUGUGCAGAUCCCUGUGGGUCAUGCUUAAUGAAGAGGAUGCUGGGUGUUUUUGCACCAGUUUUUGAUGGUGGACACCAACACUAUUAUUUCUUCACAGAAAGGAAUUUGUGCUGUUAUAAUAUAUUUUUCCUGUAAUAUUUCCUUUUCUCUACAAUAAAGCUAUGGAUAAACAUA